UGCUAGAUAUCGUCAUUAUGAUUAAGAUACGGGACUGAUUUGUUAUCGCUAACCAGCAGCAUUUCUCUGUACAACAUUAAAUAAAGGGAAACUUGUAUUUGUUUGUUUUGAUGAAUAAAGCUCUAAAAAGACUUAUCGAAACAUGUUAAAGCCUUUUCUAAAAAGUUCUUUUGCUUUUCCUUAUGAGGAGUAUUUUGUUGCCACGCGUUCAGACCCGCUGAGUUCGAUGUGCUGCUUGGUGGAGUGAGUGUUGAGCGGGGCUGCGUGACAGAUUCGUUUUUUUUAGAAAGCAGUGGGC